rnacentral:lncRNA from 1 species
ACAAAUCAAUCCAAAAUAGUAAAUAAUUAAUUUCAAGAUCUCAACUUUCGUAUUAAAACCCCACUAAUUAUUAACCUAAUCCCAAUAUAAUCUUGGAUUUAAUUACCUCUCAUCCCCCAAAACUAUUCACCUUAUUGCACUGUGUAUUUGUGUGUAUAUAUAUUACAGAUAUAUAUAUCCUCUCUUUGUUUGUUAGUGUAUUGAAAGAUUUCAGUUUCAAGAGGUAAAGGGUAUAAAAACAAGAUCUUUCUUUUGUUUUUGUUUUCUUACAGCUGAAUUAAUUAUUUAUUUUCUGAUUUUAAUUUAACAAAGGAAUUUAUUUGAUACUUUUGUUUUGACUAAUGUUUGAUAUUCCAUGAAGUAGAUUCAUAAAUUUCAGUUUCAUUAGGUAAUGGGUGUUAAAAAGAUCCAUUCUUUUUUUCAUUUUUUGCUUUCUUGCUAAUGUAUUUUUUAAUUAUUUGCUAAUUUUGAUUUAACAAGAAUUAGAUUCAGAUCUGUAAUCAUUCCUUGUGGGUCAAUUUUACAGUUGCUAGGAAGCUUUGAUUUCACUCUUAAUCUUCCUGUUAUCACUCUGCCUGUGUUUUGUUUUUUUCAGUUUGCUUAUUUUGAAAGAUUGCAUUUUUUAUUAUUAUUUUGGUUUCUCAAAUUUCUCUUUCUUGUUGGUAACGUUUGGUGUGAUGUGGGUUACAUGUUUUUUCAUGAUUUUAUAUUUCUAUGAUUUUUUUCCUACUAUAUAUACUUGUAUUCAGCCUUUUCCGUUCUGCAAUUACUUCUGUUAAGGCAGUUUUCACUUCCAUUUAAGAACUACAAGGUGAUUGGAGUCUAAUUUAGUUGUAUUUUUUUUUUCUGCAUCUUUUCUCUUCUCAGUUAGGGAUUCAAAGUUUUUAGCUUUUCUUUUCUGCUUUAUAAAUUGGAUGUGUGUGAGUGUGUGUUAUGGAUUCUCUGGAAAGAGUUUUUUCAUGUGUUUUGGAAAAUGGGGUUUAAUUUGAUAUGUAAAAUCUGGCUAUUUGGAUAAAAAAAUUAAAAGUUUUGAUCUUUUUUUAAUAUGGUUUUCUCCAUUUUGAAUGCUUAUGUAGUAAUGACUUCGAUUGAAUAUCUUGAAUCUUAUAUUUUUUAUUAAUUUGAUUGAUCUUGGGUACAGAAUUAAAGUGAUCUGAAAAUGGCUUCCAAUGGAAACAAUCAUGUAUCAACAAAACCACCACCAGAGCCUUCACCGUUGCGAAAGGCAAAAUUUUUCCAGGUACUAUACACAGCUAAUCUUGUGUGGUAAUCCAGUAAGAGUUGUUUGGUUCAUGUACUAAUUAUGACAAACAAGUGUUUAUGCUGUGAAUAAUAAUGUAGGAUUUUUAUACGAGUUAAAAGAUAGAACAACCCUUUUUCGAGAAAACCGAAGUACGGUGUAAAUCCCUUUAGAAAGAUCCCAAGUUCAGUUCAAAAUCACUUUUGAAAAUAUGUUUUUUCAACAAUUGCAAAGGUAAUUUCAAUAAGUAGAAAUUAAUCAGAAACCUGCCCCUCGGGCUUAAUAUCAACCUCUCAGUGCAGUAACAGCCCCGCGGGCUCACUCCCAACUCAAAAUAUCCAACAUCAGCUUCUCGGGCUCAGUACUCAUUAUCACAUAACACAAGGGUAUCUGGUCAACAAGGCAAGUAACAGUAAGUAUGUCAAUGCGAUAUGAGUGCUAAAUGUCAUGCCACGUAGUACAAGCAGGAGUAAAUGCAUGAAUGCAAUGCAGUGCAAUGCAUAUGACCGCUACGGCGCGUAGCCCGAUCCAUGGGUACCCUGCACUCACUGGGGUGUGUACAGGCUCCGGAGGGGCUCAUUCAGUCCAAGCGCAAAAAUGUUGCGGCGUGCAGCCCCAUCCAAUAUGUAUAAUGUUGCGCGUGCAGUCCGAUCCAUGCAAUAUGCUACUGCAGCGUACAUUCCGAUCCAUGCAUGUAUAUGCUACUGCGGUGUGCAGUCUGAUCCAUGCAUGUAUAUGCACAUGCUUACAUAACACUCGAGGCCUGAAAGCCUCCUUACAUCAUCUUCAUACCCUCACAUAUGGCCCUCAGCCUCAAAUCAAUCCAAAAUAGUCAAAAGCCCCUCGGGCAUCCGUAAACAGUUAUACUCAGCUCAAAUGAUAGUUCAAAUAUCGUUUAAAACUCCAAGUUCGAGUAAAAAUAUAGAUGAGUUCAAUAAAUAGUGUAAAUCAGAUGGACUGAGUUCAAUAAUAUUUCAAAUAGUGAGGAAAAAUAGUGACGCUAGUUCAACGAGGGUUCAAAUAAUCGGCAUUAAGCACCAAGUAUGGCAAUGAGACCAAGUCAUAAUGAUAAAAAACAAACAUUUACAAUUUAGCGAUAAAAACCAACAACCGAGACGGACAAAGUCACGAUCCCAACGGUGCUCUACCCCACGGUCCGGUCCAGCGUGCAAGUUACCACAAUACAUCACUAGGAUAUGCAAAUCCGGGGUUUCAAACCCUCAGGAUAUCAUUUCUAAAUAUUACUCACCUCGAACCGGCAAAAUCUCAAGCUCGCGACGCCUUUGCAUCAAGAAUCAACCUCCACGCACGUCGAAUCUAGCCAAAAAUAGAGCAACAUCACAAUAUGCAAGCGGGGCAAUGCACAAUUGAAAACAAUCAAGAAAUAGCAAGAAUCUCGAAAGUAGCAAAACUCGAGUUCCGGUCCCGCUUCUCGAAAAAUUACGAAACUUACAUUUUCGAAAUCCUCGUCUCGCCACGAGUCCGUACAUAUAAACUUCAUCAAAAUCGGAUUCCAAUUGCUCCUCCAAAUCCCCAAUUUUAAUUUGAAAUUUCAAGCCCUAGUUCAUCAACUUUUACACCAAAUUUUAGAGAAUUAAUGGUUAAUUCUUCAACAAAAUGACGUAUUAAGACCACGAGACUUACCUCCAAUCGCUUCCCGUUGAAACCCCCUUCAAAAUCCGUCAAUGAGCUCUCAAGGUAUUGUAAAAAUGGAGGAAAUAUGGAAUAGCUCGCGGAUGAAAUGAAUAUAGAAGUUUAAUCCUCACUACAACAAACCGCACAAAAAGAGUUCAAGAAUAUAAAGUGUUUCCUAAAGGUUCUGCAGCCUCUAGAGGAUAGAUACGGACGUCUACGUACCGAUCCGCGAGACUCUACUAAACCGGCUCUUACUCGUGAGGCCUAUUAAACCUAGGCUCUGAUACCAACUUGUCUGUUCAGAAAACUCCUUCAUCGCGCUCGCGACCCUGACCACGCGAACGCAAUGCUUUACCUGACCACGCUCCCAGGUCCUCUUACGCGAACGCGAUGCUUUGAGGUCUGCAACACCAACAACAGAAAAUCUGCUAUUUUUCCAAACCAAAAAUCCUUUCGUUGACCAUCCGAAAUCACCCUGAGGCCCCCGGGACCUCAACCAAAGGCACCAACAUGACUAAUUACCUCAUUCAAACUUUCUCGGGCCAUAAAAACACUAACAUUAACAUCAAAAAUCUCAAAAUUCCUCGAAUUCAAGCCUAAUUCAAACUAUAACUUUUUUAAAUUCGCAUUCGAUCCAAAACCCGACCAAACGACGUCUGAAUGAUCUGAAAAUUUGCAGACAUAUCCUAAAUCACCUAAAGAAGCUACUGCAACUCUCGGAAUUCCAUUCCGGCCCCCGGAUCAAAAUCUCACCUUUCAACCAGAAUUUGCCAAAAUUCGAACUUAGCCAAUUCAAGCCUAAUUCUACACGGGACCUCCAAAUUAAAUUUUGAUUUCUCUCCUAAGUCAUAAAUCACCAUCCGAAAAUUAGUCGAAUCAUCAUCCAUUCCGAGUCCUCUAACUCACUAGUCAACGUCCGAUUGACUUUUCCAACUUAAGCUUUCCUCAAAGAGACUAUUGGUCUCAUUUUUCAACCAAAACCAAUUCAAUUAACACCCGAUCGACUCUAUUACUGAUAUUGAAACAUGAAGCAACACCAUAAGAAAGAAACGGAGCAGUAACACAUAAGACGACGGAUCGGGCGUCACAAUAAAUUAGGCCAUUUUAAUUGUAGAGAAGAAGAAAAUGAAGAAAGUGAAAGAGCAGAGAAGAAAAAAAAUGAAAUAGAAAGAUUAAGAAAACUUAAAUUUAAUUAAAAAUGAUAUUUUGAAAGUUAAUUCAGUUUAGCUUUUUUUUUGCCAGUCACGCUCUUUCAAAAAAAUGGAAACACUUUCUCUGCCAGCUCACCUCUAAGGGGGAUAAUUAAUACACUUCGAUCAAGAAUGAGGGGUAAAAUGUCGCAUGUAAAAUUUAGGUGUGUAAAUAAUUUUUCCGAACAAGUUUGAUAGUACUUUAUGCAUUUUCUCUUUAAUAUAUUGUCAAUAUAUACACUUAUAUCUUCACUGAAAAAUUAUAAUUUUGAACCACUAGACAAUUUUACGCUUCUAUAUAUAUAUAUAUAUANNNNNNNNNNNNNNNNNNNNNNNNNNNNNNNNNNNNNNNNNNNNNNNNNNNNNNNNNNNNNNNNNNNNNNUAUAUAUAUAUAGAUUACAUACCUUCAAUUUUCUGGAGAAGAAAAUUAAACUUCACUUACAAGUAGUGAUGAGAUUGAUAAGAGUCUUGCGCAGAAUCUAAGAAUAUUUAUUUCAGGUAUGGUAUUGAAUUUAUAAUGGCCUUCUAUGGUUAAGUUAUCAGUUUAUGGAUUUGUCAAUAGUCACAAAUUCCAUAAUAAAUUAAAUUUCUAGAUCAACUUUGCUUCAACACACUAAUAGAAAAUCAAUCGUACUGAUAACGUGUGAUAAAAUAAAAAUAAUUUAGUGCAACAUAAAUAAGAAAUAAAAGUAAUUUAGUAAACGUGAACAAAAAAUAUAGAUAGAGAGAAGGAAGAGAUUUUCUUCUUACAAUAUAUUUUAUAUUGCAAUUAUAUAAUCUUUUAUAGGUAUAAAUAGUAAAAAUAAUAAACAUAAAAUAAAAAAUUUAAUCUUUUAACAACAUGUACUCCUCUCUAACACUGAAUUGCCAUCUACGUUACGUGAGUCCUACGUCAGCAGAUAGGAUAAGUAAAAUUCUACUAGGAAACAAAAGACAACUACCGACCUGUAUCCUACGUGUACUAUAUUACUAUUUACUCAAAACAAAUCAAUCCAAAAUAGUAAAUAAUUAAUUUCAAGAUCUCAACUUUCGUAUUAAAACCCCACUAAUUAUUAACCUAAUCCCAAUAUAAUCUUGGAUUUAAUUACCUCUCAUCCCCCAAAACUAUUCACCUUAUUGCACUGUGUAUUUGUGUGUAUAUAUAUUACAGAUAUAUAUAUCCUCUCUUUGUUUGUUAGUGUAUUGAAAGAUUUCAGUUUCAAGAGGUAAAGG